rnacentral:misc_RNA from 1 species
CUGUUUUCUAUCUCUCUUCUUUUCUUCAGCUAUAACUCUAAUUUGCAUAGACCUACAAAUGAGAUGAAUCAAAAUGAUCUGGAAAGCUAACACAUAGACCUACAAAUUUGAUUUACAGACCUUACUGAAAUUUUGAAGGUAAGACCCUUGAAUUGGGAUUACAAAGUUGAUCUGAAAAACCUAGAAACCUGAAAAUUCUAAACUUCAGGGUACCUGACCAGUUAUGGCAAAAAUGCCAUAAUUUUGCCUACAAAACUGCAAAUGUAAUGAUUCAAAAACCAAAAUCUUCAUAAGACCUAGAACUACAACUUUAAUGUUUUGACCAAAACUCAGAACCAAAUGCAACUUAGGGAAAUUGCUAGGAGAAAUCAGGAAUUACUAAUCUGGAAAUUCCUGCACCUGGACAUAUUUUUCUGCAAAAUUUCAGUUCUGCCGCUAAAAAAAAAAUUUGCAAAAUUUCAGAUCUGCCACGGGAGUAAAAAAAAAAUUGAAUUGCAACAGCAAAAAAAAGAAAAAGAAAAAGGAGGCAGAUUUGGUGUGGCACAAAUAGGGUUCACUACACACCCUAAAU